rnacentral:rRNA from 1 species
CACCGGCAGCUCUAGUGGUAGCAGUUUUUUAUUGGGCCUAAAGCGUCCGUAGCCGGUUUAAUAAGUCUCUGGUGAAAUCCUGUAGCUUAACUGUGGGAAUAGCUGGAGAUACUAUUAGACUUGAGACCGGGAGAGGUUAGAGGUACUCCCAGGGUAGAGGUGAAAUUCUGUAAUCCUGGGAGGACCGCCUGUUGCGAAGGCGUCUAACUGGAACGGUUCUGACGGUGAGGGACGAAAGUUAGGGGCGCGGACCGGAUUAGAUACCCCUGUAGUCCCUGAGCGGGCUGGCAA